GAUGAACGCUGGCGGCGUGCCUAAUACAUGCAAGUCGAGCGAACAGAUGAGGAGCUUGCUCCUCUGACGUUAGCGGCGGACGGGUGAGUAACACGUGGAUAACCUACCUAUAAGACUGGGAUAACUUCGGGAAACCGGAGCUAAUACCGGAUAAUAUAUUGAACCGCAUGGUUCAAUAGUGAAAGACGGUUUUGCUGUCACUUAUAGAUGGAUCCGCGCCGCAUUAGCUAGUUGGUAAGGUAACGGCUUACCAAGGCAACGAUGCGUAGCCGACCCGAGAGGGUGAUCGGCCACACUGGAACUGAGACACGGUCCAGACUCCUACGGGAGGCAGCAGUAGGGAAUCUUCCGCAAUGGGCGAAAGCCUGACGGAGCAACGCCGCGUGAGUGAUGAAGGUCUUCGGAUCGUAAAACUCUGUUAUUAGGGAAGAACAAAUGUAUAAGUAACUAUGCACGUCUUGACGGUACCUAAUCAGAAAGCCACGGCUAACUACGUG
rnacentral:rRNA from 1 species